CGGCUGACUGGAUUAAGUGGAGGCGUACUCGGUCGACUACGUUUUCAUCUUCGGGAAAGCGCAUUUUCCCUCUGCUUCAGCUCAAAGGACUUGUUUGUGAUGAUAUUUUUGCAGAAAAGUCCCUGAACUUCAACCCUUCAUAUCUUUUUAACCACAACUCCAAAUGAGCCCCUCCGAGAGAGAACUUUUCCGGCAAAUCUUUCCGCGGCUGCACCGCACUUCUCCUCGGUGCCUUCUUCAUCCCCAGGCAAGCCACAAUACCCACUUGCAUGAUAAUCAUGCAGUAGCCA